CAGUAGCCGCGGUAAUACGGAGGGUGCAAGCGUUAAUCGGAAUUACUGGGCGUAAAGCGCACGCAGGCGGUUUGUUAAGUCAGAUGUGAAAUCCCCGAGCUUAACUUGGGAACUGCAUUUGAAACUGGCAAGCUAGAGUCUUGUAGAGGGGGGUAGAAUUCCCGGUGUAGCGGUGAAAUGCGUAGAGAUCGGGAGGAACAUCAGUGGCGAAGGCGGCCAUCUGGGACAACACUGACGCUGAGGCACGAAAGCGUGGGGAGCAAACAGGAUUAGAUACCCCUGUAGUCCCUGUCUCUUAUAC
rnacentral:rRNA from 1 species